UACGGGAGGCAGCAGGGGAAUAUUGCACAAUGGGCGAAAGCCUGAUGCAGCUAUGCCGCGUGUAUGAAGAAGGCCUUAGGGUUGUAAAGUACUUUCAUCGGGGAGGAAAAACAAAACUAAUAAUUUUAUUUCUUGACGUUACCCGAAAAAGAAGCACCGGCUAACUCCGUGCCAGCAGCCGCGGUAAUACGGAGGGUGCUAGCGUUAAUCAGAAUUACUGGGCGUAAAGAGCACGUAGGUGGUUUUUUUAAGUCAGAUGUGAAAUCCCUGGGCUUAACCUAGGAACUGCAUUUUGAAACUGAAAUACUAGAGUAUCGUAGAGGGAGGUAGAAUUCUAGGUGUAGCGGUGAAAUGCGUAGAUAUCUGGAGGAAUACCUGUGGCGAAAGCGGCCUCCUAAACGAAUACUGACACUGAGGGUGCGAAAGCGUGGGGAGCAAACAGGGAUUAGAUACC
rnacentral:rRNA from 1 species